rnacentral:sRNA from 1 species
GCCAGGUGUGGUGGUGUAUACCUGUAAUCCCAGCAGCUUGGUAGGCUGAGGCAGGAGGAUCACAGGUUCAAAGCCAGCUUCAGCAGAAGCAAGGCAGUAAGCAACUCAGUGAGACCCUGUCUUUA